AGUCUUCUAGAAGAGAAUAUAGGCAAUUGUUUGCUUUUUUAUCAGUUUCCGAGGUAAGAAAAUUACUAAAAUACCAAAAUUGCUAGGUAUUAAUCAUAUAAGAAAAAUGAAUGCCCCAAAUUUUUAACACCAAAUCACUUGCCAAAGUAGCUUUGUCCUUUUAAAUUUUAACUUCUAUAGAACAUCAAAGAGAGAAGAAAGGGAAUAAAAAAAGCAAAUGUAGAGGAAAGUUAUAGUCAUAAAUCUAUUGAAGUUACCUAAGUUAUUUGGAAGCUAAUUAUGACUGUGUGCAAAGCAAAUGAUGUGAGAACUGAAUUAAUGAAGACCAGCUACCUCCCACAAGCUAAUGAGGCAUACUUUAUACCAAUAGUGCCACAAAUUGAAAAAUUAAACCUCUUCAUGGAGAGAAAAAAGGAGCAGCCUAAGAAUAACAUGCAAGGCCAAAGGAGAUCUCAAAGGCAUUGUCUGGGGAAUGUUGGAAAGAAAAACGAGGGAGUAAAUGAAAGUGCUUUGAAAAGGAGUGCUCUGGAUCCAGACUGGUGACAUUGCUGCAAACUCAGAAAUGUCAGUCUCCUGCAGAGAGAUGCACUAGUUCGCCCUUGCUGCUGUGGUCCAGGGCUGAUGAGGAGGCCUGGCAGAGUUUUCCGUGUUUGUGGUAAGUGUGAUGCAAUCUGUAUCCUUGAGUACACAGAGGAUGUGCUGAGAUCCGGAGAAUAACUGAAUCUGUGAAAUGGCAAGACACUUCCUAAUGGCGUUUUACUGUAUUUUGGAAGACUGUUAUGACAGAGGAUGUCACUUUGAGUCAUCGUUCAGUUAAGCAGAUAGAUUCAUGCAUUCGAAUCCUUGACUUAGCGUGAAAGUUAUAUUUCACUUGGCAUUUCACUGACUAUUUGAAUUUAAAAGUUUUAUUACCUAAGAUACAAGCAAAAUAAUUCCAGUGCUUCUCUUGCUUCAUCCUUGAGAGAGACAAUAAGAAUUUCUGUAACGUGUUUGCAGCAAGACUGGUGUUUCGAGGUCAUUUUAUCACAUCACUUGAUGUUUACGUAUCUGUGAUCUCCACGUGCAGGAAAUUUCUGUGUCUUAUCAUGAAAGGAUCGUCAUGGACAAUUCCUUCCCUUUGGAGGCUGGAAUAAUUCACCAUUCAGCUUAUAAUUUCUUCUUUGCUUCGCUUUGCAUUACAAGAAUGAUUCUUUUGUAAUUAUAAUUUUAAUGCUAUUUUGCCAUUCUUGCAAUUUCUGAACACUCUUAAGCAGUGUUAAGAUAGUUUUUAAUAUAUAGGAGAGAGAAUAAAUAUUUAACCACUGCUUAAACCUUAGUUCUGAGAACAUUAUGUUUAUCCUGUAUCAAUUAUUUAAAAAAUUAUUUAUAUAGUCAAGAUCUUUUCGACCCCCAAGCUCAUUGACUCCAUCUAAUAUAUUGAAUAACACGAGGAACUUUGACUUUGCUGAUGUUUGUCACUUUUCAAAAUAGUCAGGCGAGCUCUCCUCGCUGGUGUCAAGACUCUACUCAAUAGUGUGUGUUAUGCAAAUAAUUUCAUUUUCCCCACAGUCUUCAGAUCCACAUGGUUUGGUCUCCCUUUCAAGGCCCUAAAUGAGAUCCCUGGCAAAUUUCCUAGUUUUUAAAAUCACUUGGAAAUACAGAAUAGUCUCUUUUUUAAGUAUGAAGUAGUCCUGUCUAAUCCAAACAAAAGAUUUCAUUCUAUAUACAGUUUGCAACUUUUCCUCUUAUGUUCACCUGGGAACCCAACCCCAGCUCAGGCAUAACCCAGGUUCCAUAGCCUGCGGUAGCGGGGGCUGGGGCCAAGGCACGGCCUAUUUCAUCACUGAUUUUGUUCUACUUCUUCCCCUACUUGUUAGCUGUUGCUUCUGGCUCCUGCAGAACCCUGUAGGAAGGAGGAAGUAGAAGGAGAAGACAAGGUCUUACUUGAUUGUUGCCAUUGGAAUCUGGCAUUGAGGCCACCACUACAGCAGAUGUUCAAAUGCUGGUUCUUCUUCUCAAAGGAUGCUUUGGUGGACUUUGUAGAAUCCUUCUCACCACCCUUCCCCCACCCUAUCCAGAGACGUCUAGCCCUAUGCUUUUCUCUGAGGUGGAGGCCUACUAUCUGGUUGGCCUGAGGUGGCAUCCAUCCCCUCAGUUCUUGCUCUUAUGAGCGUUCCCUGUGCAUCCUUGGCCUGGUGGGCACUCUUACUGAGCUUGGCAAUGUUCAGAUGUCUCAAGACUAGAUACCUCCUUCUGGCCCCAAAGAGAACUCAGCCUCUUUGCCCUUGCCUGCUACCUUGGACAUGCGGCAUGUGCCUCUACGGCUCUCCCUUUGAGAUUUGCCAUCACAAAUGGUUAUUGCUGGCCUGCUUGUUCAGGUGAGUCUACACUCUAGGCAACACAGGUGAAAGUCCCAAGGGAACUCUCCUCUAUAUUCAGCUUCAGUACUGACAUUAAAUGAAUCUAUGAGUUUCUAUAGCUGAAUAAGCAUGGGAGCUGGGGGCAGAGAGGGUGGAGAGAGAGGGUUUAAGAUGUCAUUGUCUCCUCUUCAACCCAUAGCAGCUCAGGUUCAACUAUGCUAGAAUAUAAAACUGUGUGUUUAGGUACUUGCACCUGUUUACAAUGAAUGUCUUGGUUUAAGGAAAGAACAGGUUUUCUUUCUAUUUAACGUUUUGAAAUAAACACUAAGUAUCCAUACACAUGCACGUGGAAUCAUCAUGAAUGCUGUGGUAGUAAAUGCAGACUGAUGUCCAGGGUGCUAUAUUGGUGACUACAGUACCACUGAUGUUGUCGGUAACAUGAUUUUAUGUUUUAAUACAUUUCCAAACAAAACAAAGUGUACUGAUCCUCGAUUUAUGCAAUAGUUGUAUUCCUAGAAAAUUUGAUGCAUUUUAACACCAUGCCAGACUUUCACUUCCAGCUAUACUGACUAAAUUGUGGCAGUUGAAACCUCCUACCAAAAGGCAGAUGAGGAGGAAAAAAACUGGGAGCAUCUCAGAGUCACCCAGGCAACCAGGAUUCAAGGAGCCAAGAUCCUGGAGAGGAGGGAACUCACUCUGCACCACUUGCUCCCUCGAGACAUUGGCUGAUUCAUAAGCAGUAAAUAGCGAGAGGCUAACAGCUGAGCAGAAACUGGCUGCCAACGUGCUGAGAAACUGAGCUGGGCUUUUGGUAGUCUCGUGAUGCUUGGGGGACAAAAAUUAGAGUUCAGGGCCUCCCGAGGAGGAGGGGCUCAGGCUCGCAGUUGGGACACUGAAGGGCUAUUGUCUAGAAAUCACAGAAAUACACCAGAUCUUGCAAAGACUGAAACCCAGCUUUGGAUGAACUCAAUACCUCAUUUAAAUCCCAGCCAAAUACUAAAAUCAGUUCUCCUUGGAGAAAAAUACCAACGUUCAGAGUCUCUACACAUUUUCAACCUAAUGUCCAACAUUCAAUAAAAAGUUAUCAGGCAUACUGACAAAUGGGACCAGAAGAAAAAUAGACAAUGGGAGCAGACCCACAAGUGAUACAGAUAUUAGAUGCAGCUUUUAAAAUAAUGUGAUCAAGUAGU